GUACUGCUGAGGAGUCCCACAAUUGGACGAAACGGCCGUCCAGUGC
rnacentral:hammerhead_ribozyme from 1 species